rnacentral:tRNA from 1 species
CAAAAAGUAGCUUAUUUCACCUAAAGCAUUCAACUUACAAUUGAAAGAUGUCCACAUAGACCUAUUUGA